GCUGUAACGUUACCAAACUGUUGCCUCGGCGGGGUCACGCCCCGGGUGCGUCGCAGCCCCGGAACCAGGCGCCCGCCGGAGGAACCAACCAAACUCUUUCUGUAGUCCCCUCGCGGACGUAUUUCUUACAGCUCUGAGCAAAAAUUCAAAAUGAAUCAAAACUUUCAACAACGGAUCUCUUGGUUCUGGCAUCGAUGAAGAACGCAGCGAAAUGCGAUAAGUAAUGUGAAUUGCAGAAUUCAGUGAAUCAUCGAAUCUUUGAACGCACAUUGCGCCCGCCAGUAUUCUGGCGGGCAUGCCUGUCCGAGCGUCAUUUCAACCCUCGAACCCCUCCGGGGGAUCGGCGUUGGGGAUCGGGACCCCUCACACGGGUGCCGGCCCCUAAAUACAGUGGCGGUCUCGCCGCAGCCUCUCCUGCGCAGUAGUUUGCACAACUCGCACCGGGAGCGCGGCGCGUCCACGUCCGUAAAACACCCAACUUUCUGAAAUGUUGACCUCGGAUCAGGUAGGAAUACCCGCUGAACUUAAGCAUAUCAAUAAGCGGAGGAA
rnacentral:rRNA from 1 species